rnacentral:rRNA from 1 species
AGUGAACGCUGGCGGCGUGCUUAACACAUGCAAGUCGAACGAGAACGGAUUAUAGCUUGCUAUAAUUGUCAGCUAAGUGGCGCACGGGUGAGUAAUGUAUAGGUAAUAUGCCUCUUACUAAGGGAUAACAAAUGGAAACGUUUGCUAAUACCUUAUACUCCUUAUUAACAGAAGUUAAUAAGGGAAAGAUUUAUUGGUAAGAGAUUAGCCUGUAUUGUAUCAAUUAGUUGGUGGGGUAAUGGCUUACCAAGACUAUGACACAUAACUGGUUUGAGAGGAUGAUCAGUCACACUGGAACUGAGACACGGUCCAGACUCCUACGGGAGGCAGCAGUGGGGGAUAUUGCACAAUGGACGAAAGUCUGAUGCAGCAACGCCGCGUGGAGGAUGACACAUUUCGGUGCGUAAACUCCUUUUAUAUGAGAAGAUAAUGACGGUAUUAUAUGAAUAAGCACCGGCUAACUCCGUGCCAGCAGCCGCAGUAACAC